rnacentral:rRNA from 1 species
AUUGAACGCUGGCGGCAUGCUUUACACAUGCAAGUCGAACGGUAACAGCACUUCGGUGGCUGACGAGUGGCGAACGGGUGAGUAAUGUAUCGGAACGUGCCCAGUAGUGGGGGAUAACUACUCGAAAGAGUGGCUAAUACCGCAUGAGAUCUCUGGAUGAAAGCGGGGGACCGUAAGGCCUCGCGCUACUGGAGCGGCCGAUAUCAGAUUAGGUAGUUGGUGGGGUAAAGGCCUACCAAGCCUGCGAUCUGUAGCUGGUCUGAGAGGACGACCAGCCACACUGGGACUGAGACACGGCCCAGACUCCUACGGGAGGCAGCAGUGGGGAAUUUUGGACAAUGGGCGCAAGCCUGAUCCAGCAAUGCCGCGUGCAGGACGAAGGCCUUUUGGUUGUAAAGCACUUUAAGCGGGGAGGAGGCUCUUGAGGAUAAUACCCUUGAUGAGUGGACGUUACCCGCAGAAUAAGCACCGGCUAACUCUGUGCCAGCCGCCGCUGUAAUAC